UACGUAGGGGGCAAGCGUUGUCCGGAAUCAUUGGGCGUAAAGAGCGUGUAGGCGGUCCGGUCAGUCGGUUGUGAAAGUCAAGGGCUCAACCCUUGAAUGCCGGCCGAUACUGCCGGGCUAGAGUCCGGAAGAGGUGAGUGGAAUUCCUGGUGUAGCGGUGAAAUGCGCAGAUAUCAGGAGGAACACCGAUGGCGAAGGCAGUCUCUGGGCCGUAACUGACGCUGAGGAGCGAACGAGCGUGGGGAGCAACAGG
rnacentral:rRNA from 1 species